rnacentral:lncRNA from 1 species
UCUUCUUAUAAAGACGCUAGUCAUUGGGUUAGGGCCCACUGUAAUCCAGGAUGGCCUCAUUAAUUUGAUUACACCUGCAAAGACCCUAUUUACAAAUGAGGUCAUAUUCAGAGAUACUAGGAGUCAGAAAUUUAACAUAUCUUUUUGGGGAUACAAUUCAACAAUUUUAAUGCUUGCUGUAGCUUUAAAUGGAAGGGGUUUCAAAGUUCUUAGGAGUCCUUGUUUUUGUCUUCCCAGGUAUCUCUUGUUUUCUCUAAGACCUCCUCUUAAAUAGAAACUGACCCUUGCAGCUCUUUCAGCUGUUAUCCAUUGUUAAUACGCUUGAGCCCUGGUGAUGCAGUGGGAAGAAGUGGGAGAGGAAAAACCUUCUAUGAUAUUAUGAUUACGUUUUAGUGUUUUAGUAAGUCUUUGUCUCUGGACUGCAACCUUCACAAGUGUUUCUUCAUCCUCUCCUGUCUUAUACUUGAAAAAGGAAGACUAGAAGAAGCUGGAGCCUGGGACAUGCCUUUCCACCAGCUGAUAUAAGGCUCUUUUUGCCAGAAGGGCUUUGUUAUAAAGAACACUCCCAGCAUAUUUCAAAAUGGCUACUUUCCUCUUUUCCUGCCAGAGGGAUGAGUUUGCCAGGAAAGCCGCUGUCUCAAGGAUAUCAAGGAGCGGAGGCUUCCCAGACCUCAACUCCUCGACUCCUGGUGCUUGAACCCGCCUCAAGCAGGAAGACGAGACAAGAGACAAAGGCAAAGGACGCCCACCUGCCAUCCUCCUAUCUCACCCUCCCCCCGCCCCCCCACCGCCUUGCUGCAAGCAGCCUCUCAAGGCCAAACGCAGGCUGGUGGAAAACCACCGACCUGCACAAGCUACUUGCACCCCCUCCCCUACCCAAAACCCCAAAUAAAAAUCCCCACCAUUCCUCAUCGGGGAGCUAGCAAUUUUUGAGGCAUGAGCCCUUGCUUUGCCCCCUGUGCCUGGCAUAGUAAAAACCCUUCCUCUUCCACUCAAGACUCUGUUCUUGUUAUUUGGAUUGGCAUCGGGUUCAGAGACCGAACUUUCGGUUACAAUAGGAGAAAUAAUUGAUUAACUUACUGGUGAUCCAUUUUUAAAAUUGACGAUAUGAAAAAUAUUGUAUCCACAUACUGAGUAAAAUAAACUCAAUGUGACAUGAUAACAUUUAAGUAACCAAACCUGGAAUUAUUUAGAAAUCAAGUGUCAAAUUUUUCUGAACAUCUUGGGAUGUUUUCACUUACUCGUAUUCGAAGAGGAAUUGAUGAGAAUAGUAUUUUACCUGUAUACAGAUAUGUUGCUAACUCUAGAAAAUACUUUAGUUUAAGUCUAUUUUAGGGUUAGCCCGUAAAUGAAAUGGUGGAUAAAUGUCUUAUUUAAAUUCAUUUUUACUAGCUUAAAGACACAAAGCCCAAUUUUCUAUCUUACUUGAAGGUUAAUUUCUUAUAAUUAUCAGAAAAGUAAAAGAAUUUUAUUACUGGUAUUUUCAUUGUUAAUUACCAAAUAGUUUUAU